AACCAUCCCACACUUUCCGGCUUGAUCUCUUACAAGUUCUUAUCAACUAGCCCUGCUCAAGCCCUGCUGCUGCCUUCUCCAUCAACACUAGAUUACUACUUAGUUAUCACUCAAUUUUAUAUAAUCAUUAUUAGACAGAGUGAAGUCUAGAAUUAUUAACUAGUCUAUGACUAAUUUGUGACUAGUAUAUUAAAAUUUUAUAACUAUAUAUUGAGGGGAUUGAAUUGAGUGAUUCAUACCCUCUAUACCACCGCUCUGAAGAUGAUUGAGCUCUUUUGCUCUAGUGGUCUAAUACUAUAUAAAUAUAGUUACCAGUAUUUUAUCAAUAGUAUAUCAGUUGUCUACUAGUACAAUAUUAAUAAUAAUGAGUUUAUAAUAACUAGUGGUUAUAUGAAGAUGAAUUUGCCUGUGUUUGAAUAUAUGUUUCUAUAAUGUUCAGUCAAGGUCUCUGAAUAACUCAUAUAUAUUCUGUAUAAUAAACUAUUUUUUUUAAUUAUAUAAAAG
rnacentral:sRNA from 2 species